CCUCCACUUCUCACCCUCCAGAUCUCUUCCCCGGCGUUACUACAGGCAUCCUCGGCGGUUUUCUUCUUCAAAUUUCGGAUCUUGUCGUCUUUUUGGUCUAUGAUCAAACGUUUCUCUUUGCUAAAGGUUGAAACUUUACGAGGUAUCGCAGUGAUGAACUGAUUAUCUCGUGUACUUGAGGCGGUCUCAUUUUCGGGAUUUGUCGGUGACGGUCGCACAACCCUCUAAGAAGUUCUGAGCUCAUGCCCUCUUUUUCGUUCUCUUCAAAUUCUCGUGGUUUUGCUCCUCUUGCUUCUGUCUGCGGACAUAUCGAUUUCGAAUAUGGUUGUAUGUUUGUCUUUCUGUCUGUCUGGUCGUCCCCGUUUGUUUGUUUGUUUGUUUUUUUGUGUGUGGCUGCAUCGAUUUUGUGUGGUUGUUUCGAAUUGGGAGCUGAGCUGAAGCGAGGUGACGAUAGAAAUUCAUGUCUGUCAAUCCACUGACUUCAAACAGCGUGAUGUUAUCGCGAAUCCCGACAGGUUCUGAUCGCUACUAGCUCCUCUUUCGCUUCCACUAAUUUGUUCAGAACUUUUUUUUGUGUUUGCAUUGAUGCUUAAAGAACCAAGCUUUUCAAACACCUGCGAAAGCAGGUGGGUUUUACUGUGAUUGCUCGAUCAUUCUGUAGUUGGGCAGGUGAUGAAUCUCAUAUCAACUAAUGGGUAAUUUGCGUCUGAACUUAUUUUGAUGCUAUAUCACCUUGGAGAACUGAUGCCCGAUCUAGUGUUUUACUCCUUUUUGGACUAGUUAAGUUGUUUUGGAUGUGAAGAAAGAACAUUUGUUGUCUUUAAACCACUGAUUCUUGAUUGCUUUUGUGGGACUUUGUCCUUUACUAGCCUUUCCCUUCUGUGUUUUUGGUAUGGUUUUAUCAGAAUUUGAUGGUCUGGCCAUGUUAUUGAAGUUCUUAAUGUAACUAUUAUUCAUGGCAUGUAUUGAAAAAAAAAACUAUUGCUUGUGUAAUGACUUAAUGGUAUAUGCAGAUUUAGAUUUCUCCAAUAUGCCUCUUCGGUGAAAUUAUUUCAUGCACUAGUAUCAUGCACUAGAAAUGACGAUUCUGUAGUUGGGCAGGUGAUGAAUCUCAUAUCAACUAAUGGGUAAUUUGCGUCUGAACUUAUUUUGAUGCUAUAUAUCACCUUGGAGAACUGAUGCCCUAACUAGUGUUUUACUCCUUUUUGGACUAGUAAGUUGUUUUGGACAUGAAGUGAGAACAUUUGUUGCUCUAUUGUUAUUACUGAGUUGCUAGAUUUUGGAACUCAUGUGAAUGAUUCAAUUCAUGGUAAGUCUAGGGAAGAUUUUGAUGCACUUUGGCUUGUUACUCUGCUGGCACAACAUGUUGACACACUUUCUCUAGCCAUAAAGGUUUCGAUAGGGUAAAAAGUUAGGUGGUCUUGGGAUUACCUAUUUCUAAAAGAACUUGCUAUUAUGGCUUUGUCAUGUCAUUAUGGAUGACACUCAGCCAUAAACUAAUUGCAAGUGUAUUGAGUGUUAGGUAGUCUUGGGAUUACCUAUCUUUUCUCCCUUUUGUAAACCUUCAUUAAUCUUGAACACAUGCAAUUGCAAAAAUCUGAAAUGAAUAUGUUCUUUGUGGAUCGGACCAGUCAUUGCCUAUGGUGGACUUUAUCUAAACUCAUCAUAAAUUAAUGACUGAUGUGUUCGGAUCACAAAUAUUAAAUUUAUACAAGAUUUUCAUAAAAUUGGGAUUGUUGGUUUCUAGUGCGGUGUGGGCAAUACUAUUUGAAGGAUGUUUUUAGAAAGUUCAACCUAAAUAGUAGUAUAGUGGUAUUAAUAAUCGAAUCGUAUAAGGUGUGGCUUUAUUGUCGAUAGCAUGGCAUCAUGUCAAUAAGAUAUUGAUCCUGCAUUUACCUAAUACAUUCUCAAACUUGUAUUUGGGAAAGGAGUGGAUCAAGUCUGGAAAAUGGAAGUCGUGGAAAUUUCAAAAGAAUUUAUAUUGUCUGAGAAAAUGUGGGGUGAAAAUUUGAGAAAUAUUUGAGCUUUUCCUCCUCUUUGCAAAAAUAUAUGAAUCUUUCCCAAUUUUCUACACUCAUUUUCCCUCCUUCCUUUUUCCAAAUUCAAGCCUAAAGCUUGAAGCUGAAUUUCUUUUUGGAAAAGGGCAAUUAAAAUGAGACUGUCCAUAUAGCUCUAAGGUGGGGGGAAAGCUUAUUUGACACAUUAUACUAAAUAAUGGUUGGAUUUGAAGAGAACAUUUGUAUUCCAAACGUUUAUUAUUGUCAGAAAAUAGUGAUAAUCAUAGCUGUGUUAAUAGUUGCAUUGACGAGAUGAACACUCAACAACAAUUGUAACUAUUGUACUCAUGCCGUUCAUUGGCGUGGCUUACACGUGCAAUCACGUGUGUUCCAUGUCCAUGGACGGUGUGGAUGCGGCAGUUGCGGUUUACAUCAAUAAUGUAGGCUGGCUAAAUAUCCUACUUUUCUGGUAAUGCAAGUUACGAGUUUUGAUGAGAGGGGUUUGAUGAGAGGGUUUUAAGUGUGAUAGUGGGACAGAUGUAUGGUGCUGCGGAUUGUUGCUCUAUUCAUGCAAUGUAUUCACUAAUUUGUCUAUAUUUUGUAUGGCCAUUUUUGAAUGAGGUUGAUGGUAUUCUCAGUUUACACAACGAGAGUUUUGAGGUUGUGCUACUGAAUAAAAAGAUAUUAUGAGCUGCUGCAAAUAUGAUUGGAUCUGCUGCAUGGCCCUUCCCGUUGGAUCUUGUUAUUUACACUAUCUUAUGCUCCCGAUUUUCGAAAAACAACUUUAUUUGUGCUCAUGCCACUUCCUAUUUUCAAAGUAUUUACUUUACGAAACAAUAGAGUGGUUUUCCAUCUAUUUGAUUAUCAUGAACUCAUCAAGUAGCUGUACAGGUGAUGAAUCUUUUUUUAGCUAGUGGGUAAUGUCUGUCCACCUUGGAGACUUGAUGCCCUUCUGAACAUUCCAUUUUUCUUUACUUAGUUCAUUGGUGGUUGAUGUGUAGCAAGUGGUUUUUGUCUAUAAGCAAUUGAAUCUCGUGUGCAUCAUCUCAUUUACUUCUAUGCUUUCAUGUUUUGAAUCUGCUAGCAUUUUACCUGUUAUGCUUUCCAAAGUCUUUCAUGUAGUAGCAUUAUUUGUAUAAUAAUGCCAAGAAAUGUUGUAUUAGGUGUUGAUCAAGAUUGUAAUUUCCCCCUUGGGCUUAGUCCAUUGUAUGUACUCGCUCCCUUUAUUGCCUUUACAGCUCCGGUGAGGAAUUUUAGCAGUAACUAAGAAUGUUUUAUUAUCUUGACCCUUGGUUUUGAAGUAGUCUUUGGGCAGAACUUGCUUCUCAAACGUUGAAUAAAAAUUUGGGUGGACAAUGCAGAAAUUUUUUUAAAUUUUCCCACCUCUGUCUAAUAAUAAAAUUCUAAAAUUGUUGGACAGGAAGAGGAGGGAAACUUAAAAUUGAUAGUCAUUUUGAAACCAAACUUUCGUUAUCUCUUUUUAUUUACCAAGCACAACAAUAGUUGCAUAAAGGUUUGAUUGUGGAAAAAAAGUUGGUUCUGGGAUUAUCAAUCUUUACUAGCACUUGCCAAUGAAAUUAUGUCAUGUUUUUUGAAAAACCAUAAUUGCCAUGUGAAUAUUUGGUGAUGAUGGUCAGAUAAUCUUGCAUGACUUUUGGCUUUUAGCUGGUGGAGAUAAAGAUAAAUAGUUCAAGGAUUGUCUAUCCUCUUCUCCUUCAUGUAAACCUUUAAGAAUUUUGUUAAAAAUAAAAAAUUGCAAAGAUUUGGGUCAACCUAGUUUGACCGGAACCGACUUGGCUUGAUAGGUUCAGUCGGACAAAGCUCGGCCCAAUUCGAUCAUGAAUCGUGCUUUUCUCUCUAUAGUUGAAAAUUCCCAUGCCACAUGGCGACUCCUUGUUGGCCCAAAUCCUCACCAUUGUGAGCUUGCCACACGUUUUCCCCACGCAAAAACCCUAGAUGAAACCUAGGUUAUUCUACUCUUGGAGAGCCCUCCUUUCUUGAAGAAAGUAAAGAGUCCCCUUUCGUGCCACCUCUUUUAUUACCAAAAAGUAGAAUAACUGAAGUUUUUAUCUGGGUUUUUGUAUGAUGGUGAGAAGUGGAGAGCUCACAAUAGUAAGGAUUUAACAUUUAAGCCAAUGAUGAGGCAGGGUCGGAUUGGGCCGAGCUUUAUCCUGUCGGGCCUAUUGGGCUGGGUCGGUUUUGGUCAAAUUGGGUUGACCCGAGCUUUUGCAAUUUUUCUUAUUUAACAACAUUCUUCACGAUGCCAAACAGGAUAAAUUCAGGUAUCAACAAUAAGGGAGUUGGAAAAGUCAUAUGAAUUCAGUUUUUGUGGAUGGGAUCCAUCAUGAUCAUUAAAUACAGUGGGUUCUAGUUGAUGCUAUCAUGAACCAAUGCUUGUGAUGUGUUCCAUGACAUUGUUAAGAUUUCCGUUUUGUCAGAGUUUCGAACUCCGAUCUUGGCACGCAAUUCCUUGUCUUCCUCUCCCCACCAAUUGGAGCUUUUAUUGCAUGGUGUUGGACCAUCUGUCUCUAGAGCAUAUGAGCUGUUAGAUUCAUUGGUCUUGUAGAUCUAACGGUUGAUAUGUUGUAGGGAGAAUGGUAUGAUCUUAUGAAAUAAUUUUCCCACCAAGCUGGAGGAUACCAUAUAGCUGGGGUUGGUGACAAUGGUGAUAUUUGGAUUAUAGACAUGAGCUUGUGUGAUUUUUCUCACAAUGUUAAUAUAUGUGAGUUUGAGAUUGGAGAUAGGGUAAAGUUAUUCUCUCUAGUCAGUGUUUCUUUUGGCAGCGGUGGAAGACACAUUACUUUCUUUUUGGUAACAAGUCAUCUUUAUGAGAAAAAAAGUAAAUGCAUGGUCUCUGCCCUCUGGUUUUUUCCUUUGAGUAAGUGAUAGGUGAUAGAGGCACAUAAGUUCGAUGAUCUGCUGUUUGCUCUAUCCUAUUCAACAGUAUUUUGAUUGAUUUAUUUAUCCGUCAUUGAAAGAUGAUAAAUUCACCAAGUAAUUCAGUCCUUUCCAUAAGGUAUGCGUUGCUCUCUUCCUUUUACCUGAUUUUUAAGGAUUUCGAAUUUUUUCAGUUCACAAGUAGGUGUAAUUGUACUGGUCGCUCUGGGGUCUUGCAGUUACUCUAUUUCACUGGUUCUGAGUUUUGGUUUGCUAUUCAUUGCUUAUUCUUAUAUUUUGUGCCUUCCCAGUUUCAUUUCAACGACUCUUGUAGUUAGGAAAACGCAAUCCAACAUAUCUACGAUGACUUCUCUCUCUGAAGAUUGCCGUUGACAGUUUGCAAGAAAAUAGUCGAUGGAGUGUCUAUAUGACAGCUUUGAUCCCUGAAGAUUACCGACAACGGUGCAGAAGAAAAACAUGGAAGAAGUGCCGUUUGUUUUCCAGGAUGGCAAUUGUUCAAGAACUGGCGGUUAUCACAAUGGUGCCAUGUAUUUCAAACAAAGAAUUUAGGGAACGAUUUGCCUGAGUUUGUGCAUUUGAAAAGAGUUCAAGUCUUUCUUUUAGUUCAUUUCUGUAUAUCUUUGAAGAUUGUCAUCUGCAGUACCUUUUCUCUUCCUCUCCAUGUUGAGUCCUGAAUUUCCUUGGAUUGAUGGCAAGUUUCUUGUAAUCUGUUGUCUGAUGUAUCAGUCUCUUCUCUAGUGUGCAUUGGCUGGUUUUCAAACGCAACAUUUAUCCAUUAUAUUGUUCCC